rnacentral:rRNA from 1 species
AGCGAACGCUGGCGGCAGGCCUAACACAUGCAAGUCGAACGAACCUUUCGGGGUUAGUGGCGGACGGGUGAGUAACACGUGGGAACGUGCCUUUAGGUUCGGAAUACCUCAGGGAGACUUGUGCUAAUACAGAAUGGGCCCUUCGGGGGAAAGAUUAAUGGCCUUUAGAGGGGCCCGGGUAUGGUUAGCUAGUUGGUUGAGGUAAUGGCUCACCACGGCGACGAUCAGUAGCUGGUCUGAGAGGAUGAUCAGACACAUUGGGACUGAGACACGGCCCAAACCCCUACGGGGGGCAGCAGUGGGGAAUCUUGCGCAAGGGGCGAAAGCCUGACGCAGCCAUGCCGCGUGAAUGAUGAAGGUCGUAGGAUUGUAAAAUUCUUUCACCGGGGACGAUAAUGACGGUACCCGGAGAAGAAGCCCCGGCUAACUUCGUG